rnacentral:rRNA from 1 species
UACGUAGGUGGCGAGCGUUGUCCGGAUUUACUGGGCGUAAAGGGAGCGUAGGCGGACUUUUAAGUGAGAUGUGAAAUACCCGGGCUCAACUUGAGUGCUGCAUUUCAAACUGGAAGUCUAGAGUGCAGGAGAGGAGAAUGGAAUUCCUAGUGUAGCGGUGAAAUGCGUAGAGAUUAGGAAGAACACCAGUGGCGAAGGCGAUUCUCUGGACCGCGACUGACGUUGAGGCUCGAAAGCGUGGGGAGCAAACAGG